CCUACGGGAGGCAGCAGUGGGGAAUAUUGCACAAUGGAGGAAACCCUGAUGCAGCGACGCCGCGUGAGUGAAGAAGUAAUUCGGUAUGUAAAGCUCUAUCAGCAGGGAAGAAAAUGACGGUACCUGAGUACGACGCCCCGGCUAACUACGUGCCAGCAGCCGCGGUAAUACGUAGGGGGCAAGCGUUAUCCGGAUUUACUGGGUGUAAAGGGAGCGUAGACGGGAGUGCAAGUCAGGAGUGAAAGGCGGGGGCUCAACCCCCGGACUGCUCUGGAAACUGUAGGGCUGGAGUGCAGGAGGGGUAACUGGAAUUCCUAGUGUAGCGGUGAAAUGCGUAGAUAUUAGGAGGAACACCAGUGGCGAAGGCAGCUUACUGGACUGUAACUGACGUUGAGGCUCGAAAGCGUGGGGAGCAAACAGGAUUAGAUACCCUGGUAGUC
rnacentral:rRNA from 1 species